AGGAAAAUAGUUUAUUAAAAUAUUAGCUUUGGGGGUUAAAGAUGGUUUACUUUUCCUU
rnacentral:tRNA from 1 species